GUGAUGAUUAUAAUAAAUAUUUAAAACAAAUUCCUUUCAAGCUUUGUAAAAAGAAAGUUUCAUUUUAUGUAUCGGAAUGUGUAACAAGUGAAUAUUUCAAUCCCCACUGGAAGGCCUCUGACAGACUGGGUGAGCAUAAAAUCAUAGCCUUUGACAAACAAGUUACAACCUACAAACGUUUUACUGUCGACCACACUGUUAUGCAAUUAAUUCUAUGUA
rnacentral:lncRNA from 1 species